rnacentral:rRNA from 1 species
CGAAGGAUGCAAGCGUUAUCCGGAUUCAUUGGGUUUAAAGGGAGCGUAGGUGGACUGAUAAGUCAGUGGUGAAAUCUUCGAGCUUAACUCGGAAAUUGCCAUUGAUACUGUUGGUCUUGAGUACAGUUGCUGUGGGCGGAAUAUGACAUGUAGUGGUGAAAUACAUAGAGAUGUCAUAGAACACCGAUUGCGAAGGCAGCUCACAAAGCUGUAACUGACACUGAGGCUCGAAAGUGCGGGGAUCAAACAGGAUUAGAUACCCUGGUAGUCCGCACCGUAAACGAUGAUUACUCGCUGCUAGAUGGCAACAUUUAGUGGCUUAGCGAAAGCGAUAAGUAAUCCACCUGGGGAGUACGCCGGCAACGGUG